UCACAAAAGCAACCACAAAAGAGAACACAAGAGAGUCACCAUUAACCUGCCGGCAUUGAAUGUUAAUGUGAAUGUUAAUGCCUCUUGAACUUGAUGCAGAUUUUAAACAGCCUGCGUGGUGCUCUAGACGAUUUCCCACACCCGUCAGCCUUGAUGGGCAAUCAUCUGGCUACCGUGCUGGUUGGCUGGUGUGGUGAUUGUAGCUCGGAUAAGAGGCAGGGAGCGGCGGGACUGUGCAGGUGGAGUAGGGGAGAAAGCGAAGUCCUGCUGCCUGCUGCCUGCUGACCGCUGUUUGCUGACCGCUGCCUGUGCCGACCGCUGCUUGCUGACUGUGGCUGCCGACGAGGACGUUGAGCCGCUGUGGGCUAUCUACGCUAGACGAUCGCCACAGUAAAGGGAAGAGCUAUUUGUAUUCUUUGGUUAUUUCACAUGUCCAUGUAGCUCACGAUGGUGUUGGAAUUCCAGGCGGGUGCUGCCGGACGACGAGAUGGAGCCUGAUCCGGAGGAGAGCCGCAGUUGAGUGACAACGCUAACUUGGAGUGCAUCAAAAGGGACGGUGAUAUUCCAACUCUGCAUCGUUGUGCGAGUGAGCGUCGCUGACACUGCUGGCUAGAGUGGUCUAAUGGCCUGUGUUUUGUCAACAGUUUCAGCCGGGACUCAGUGCUGCUUCUGCUUCCGUGGUUGACGACUCCACUGGCGUGCUGACGUGAACAUCGUGCCGCCGUGACGUCACCUUCAAGAACUAGGCUCACUGCCGAUCCGAUAGCGGACUACAUUUCCCAGAGGCCCCGGCCUGUGGCACUUACCUCGAUCUUCUGCAAAUGUAUGGAGAGAGGGAGAGAGUCUGGACCCACUCCAGUUUGCAUGUAUGGCAAAAGACGGAGCUGAGGAUGCCAGUCUAAAUCUUCUGGACACAGUGGCUGGCUAAAGGCAUCUUGAUGCUCCAAACUAGUGGCCUACGUCAGGAUUUUAUUCAUGGAUUGUUCACCAGCUUUUAACACACACAAUGGAAUGUCCCUUUUCAAAUAUGCUGAUGAAAUUGCCUUGGUGGCCCAUCUGACAGAGCAAUCCCUGUCCAUAUAAAGGCAUGUGGUCCUUUGGUUCAAGGAGAGCUCCCUGCAAUUGAACAUCAGCAAAACCAAAUAGCCUGGUUGUGGGGCAAGCUGAACACCUGACCUCCCACACCCUCUCUCAAAACCACUCAGGCUGGAAGGGCAGAUGCUACAGGUCAAGACCUCUAAAUCCCUUAGCACAGAAAUCGACUGCAAUCUGUCCUUCACACAACAUGCUGAUGGAACUAUAGAA